rnacentral:rRNA from 1 species
UACGUAGGGUGCAAGCGUUAAUCGGAAUUACUGGGCGUAAAGCGUGCGCAGGCGGUUAUGGAAGACAGAUGGGAAAUCCCCGGGCUCAACCUGGGAACUGCAUUUGUGACUGCAUAGCUAGAGUACGGUAGAGGGGGAUGGAAUUCCGCGUGUAGCAGUGAAAUGCGUAGAUAUGCGGAGGAACACCGAUGGCGAAGGCAAUCCCCUGGACCUGUACUGACGCUCAUGCACGAAAGCGUGGGGAGCAAACAGG